rnacentral:rRNA from 1 species
UACGUAGGGUGCGAGCGUUGUCCGGAAUUAUUGGGCGUAAAGAGCUCGUAGGCGGUUUGUCGCGUCGGCCGUGAAAACUUGGGGCUUAACCCCAAGCCUGCGGUCGAUACGGGCAGACUUGAGUUCGGCAGGGGAGACUGGAAUUCCUGGUGUAGCGGUGAAAUGCGCAGAUAUCAGGGGGAACACCGGUGGCGAAGGCGGGUCUCUGGGCCGAUACUGACGCUGAGGAGCGAAAGCGUGGGGAGCGAACAGG